GUUCUCCUCAUCAUUCCUUCCUUCAUUGGUGAACCUGCAUUUACAAUAGGAUUGGGUGCACCUAUCUGUGCCACACACACAUUCCUGCUCAUCUUCCUAUGAUCCUGUUGGAGAUGUUUUGGCCAGGAUUAGGGUUCUGCUGAUUUAUUGCACAAUUCUUUGUAAAGUCUGCUGUGAAGUCUCUGCAAUGUUCUGGAGUGAAAUGAACUAAUAGGAGUGCAUUGGAAAUCAAAGUCUGCUGGGAAUAGUUUGAGGUAAAGAGAGGGCAACUAACAGAAAUGAGGACUCAAUGAACACUCUUCUUGCAAGUAAUACCUCUGAGCCAUGCCAUCGUGUCUGGAGAAGCCCACAGGAACAAUCCCUUCCAGGAAAAUGAGAUCUGCUUUUACCUCCCUCUAAGUAGUGUCAAAAGAGAGCUCUGCCAGACAAGAGGUGAAAUCUUUGAUUAAAAGGCAGAUAUCCAGUGGUCUGAAACCUGCUGCUGCUGCUGUGGGAGUGAGUUUGCUUCCAAGGAGCUGAGAAGAACCCCAAACACGGUAAUGGCUUCAUAGGUGAUCAGUCACUCCUGUUUGUAGUGGAUAUUGUCUGCAUAGAAUUAGUAGUCUGCAAAAUUCCCACAAGACAGGCACAGCUGAAUAGACAUAAAACUUAUUCUAAACAAUUAAUCAGAUUUUAAACAAACAAUGGAAUUUCAAGUCAGCUGUUUGAGAGGAUAGGAAACUGUUGGACUUUUACCUGAAGUAAAGCAAAUCAACUGUAAUUAUAUUUGUCUUCUCAAAGGAGGGAGGGUAUUUUAGAGGUGGAAAACUGAUACUUGAAACCUCUUUCAAAGACAUUGGUGCUGGCUUGUUGCCAUGGUUUGGAGAAUCUGUAAGUAAUUGUCCACACUAUUAAUUAAAUAGGAGUUUGUGAAUUUUAUUCUACUGGGAAAUUGCUACAAAAGGAAUGUUUUGAGGCUUUGUAAUGAUGUCCCAGUUGGACACUGCUUCCAUGAGCCACAUGACUCAUGAGAAAAUGAAAUCCCAUACAGUUCAAGGGAAGGCAGAGAUGAAGAGCUCUUUUCAGCAGAAGAAACCCAACAGCAGAGAGACAGAAUUUUCCCUGCUGCUCCCAGAGGAAUUCUGUGAACAGCUGCAUUUGCUCAGUAUUGUUUACUCUGGUUUUUGUGGUUUUGUCCUGGCUGCCAGAGAUGCCACCAUCAUGACUGCAGCCAGGGAUCUACAGUGGCAGAUGAGCUUUGAACAAACCAUUUAAACAGGAUUCAGUUUAGUUCUGCCUUCCCUUGGAUGUCAGUGUUCCUCUGAACUUCUCAGCCUUCAGAACGAAGAGACACCUCUCCAGCAGCUCCUCUGUGGGCAUUUCUGCUCCCAGUCACCAGCAGGAAAUACAAAGGCAAGUGGAAAUGAAAGCUGGUUCAAGUGCAAUUGCACCACCUCAGUCUGCUCUGGAGCCAGUUCUGACUUUAUCUGACAUUGCAGUUGUCCUGUGUCAAUGCAAGAGGCUUUGCUGGGCCAUGUCAGCAGUGUCAAAGCAGUGCCUGAAGUUACUUUUGUCUGUCAAAGCCCUGCUCAGUGGCCAGAACCAGCCUUAGUCCCAAAGCCUGGUCUGUUCUCUGUUGACUAAGCUCAGAGGCAGCUCUGGACUGGGCACAUGCCAUGGGA